UCACUGCUUGCGCAGGCAGUCUCGCUAGAGUCCCCGGCAUUAUCCGCUGGCAACUAGAGACAAGGGUUUCGCUCGUUGCGGGACUUAACCCAACAUCUCACGACACGAGCUGAUGACAGCCAUGCACCACCUGUGUAGGGCCCCGAAGGACACCGUAUCUCUACGGCUUUUCCCUACAUGUCAAACCCAGGUAAGGUUCUUCGCGUUGCAUCGAAUUAAGCAACAUGCUCCGCCGCUUGUGCGGGCCCCCGUCAAUUCCUUUGAGUUUUAGCCUUGCGGCCGUACUCCCCAGGCGGGGUGCUUAAUGCGUUAGCUUCGGCACGGAUGGAGUCGACACCACCCACACCUAGCACCCAUCGUUUACGGCGUGGACUAC
rnacentral:misc_RNA from 1 species